rnacentral:rRNA from 1 species
UACGUAGGGACCAAGCGUUGUUCGGAUUUACUGGGCGUAAAGGGCGCGUAGGCGGCAUGACAAGUCACUUGUGAAAUCUCUGGGCUUAACCCAGAACGGCCAAGUGAUACUGUCGCGCUAGAGUGCGGAAGGGGCAAUCGGAAUUCUCGGUGUAGCGGUGAAAUGCGUAGAUAUCGAGAGGAACACCAAUGGCGAAGGCAGCUCGCUGGAACGGAACUGACGCUGAGGCGCGAAAGCGUGGGGAGCGAACAGG